rnacentral:lncRNA from 1 species
UGGCUGAUCAUGAAUGGAAUGGUAGUGAGUCGUGACCUUCAUUCUGCUUCACAUAUAUUCCUGCAGGCUUCGCACCUGCUUAAAUAUGAUUCCAUGCUGGGAACUUUUAAAGCAGAUGUGAAAAUACUGGACAAUGAAACCAUCACUGUUGAUGGUAAGCCCAUCAAGGUUGUUUCAAGCAGGGACCCUCUUAAGCUUCCUUGGGCUGAACUUGGAAUUGACAUUGUUAUUGAGGUACGUAACUCCCCAUUACUUGACUUAUUUCAAACAUGAUCCAAUAUUGUUGUUUAUUUAUUCAAGAGCUGCUAAAAAGAUCAAUGAGUGAUAUUUGUUCAGGGAACCGGAGUGUUUGUGGAUGGCCCUGGGGCUGGUAAACACAUCCAAGCAGGUGCCAAGAAAGUUAUUAUCACUGCUCCUGCAAAGGGUGCUGAUAUUCCAAC